rnacentral:tRNA from 5 species
GGCGGAUGUAGCCAAGUGGACAA